UGGCCCCGCCGAAGGGGAGCGGCUGGAUGAGGGGAGAGGGCCUCACCUGGGCCUGCAGGUGAUGGUGCCGGGAGAGGGGCCGUCAGAGCCCUGUGCCCGGGUUUCAGCAAACACCUUUAUUUCUGAUUUUGGACACCCCGUCUUGGGUAACUCGCCUCCUCCAGAGGUGGAGAGACGGCUCAGCACCCCCAAAAUGAACCACUACCCACGGUGCUGUCCCCUGCCCCACAGCGGGGACCCUCGUGGAGUCGAUUCCCCGAGCGGCUGCUUUGGUGGGACACCUGUCCCACCAGACACGGCCUGUGGCAGCGGCCGAAUUGCGGCCCCUUGGCCAAGCCGAGCAGCAGCUCCUUUCAACUCCUCCCCGCCAACCCACUAAUGAGACACGGUAAUUGCAUAAGCCGGCCGGCUGCGGAUGGCUCGUUACAGAGCGGGAGCUCCUAUUUACAUGUUGUGUCUGUAGUUAUGCAACGUGGCGAAGCUCCGGCCGAGGCCACCAGCCCUGCUCGCGGCUGCAGCGCAACGCCAGGAAUCCCUCGCCCUUUACCACAGCAGGAGUGACUUGUCCCAGCAGGCAUGCUGUAAUGAUCCUGUUGACAAGUUUAGGGUCCUAGGGAGCAGGUGGAAUUGAGGAAGGCUUUCUUCUGGCUUCCUCGCUACUGGGAUUUGGUGGCAUGAACAUCCCUUUGGCAAUGUGACACGGUGACGGGGCUUGGCCUGUUUUCUGCAGGACCUCACGUGGGUUGCUUGGCUUUUCGUGGCACUUACCUUGGUGAAUAUCACCGUCUUUCCUCCUCUGAGGUGCUCUGAGGAUUAAUUACUCACGUUGUGCAAAGUGGAGUGGAAGAAGCUAAGCCACUGCAAUAUUUAGGGUUUCAAUAUGACAGCGUGUUGGGAAAUGCUUGCAAUCAGUAGGUGAUGGCAUGUGAGAAAUCAAGAGCUACCGAGAGUAAGUAAAGAUUGUGCAAGUGUUUAGACGCUUGGUUAUUUUUUCAGUAAUACCCACUAAUUCAGGGGUGUUUUCAUCUCUGGAUGCCCAGCUGGAGAUGGAUCAUAGAAGCUUAUGUUUGUACAUGCAGCUUUGCUGAAAGUCACCUUCUGAAGUCAUGGCUUCUCCAGCUGUACCAGCACAGCUGGACACGAAGGCAGCAGCCAUCCUGGUGGCCCAGGUUGUGGUGUGGGAAAACCACUGCACUAUUUUCUUCAUGGCAAAACACUGGCUGUCAGCUGACUCUGUGUGGAAAAAGAACCUUCCUCCAAUACUGCCAGGAGACUGAGUCGUAAACAGUGCAGUGACAUGAAGCCAUCACACGUUAGAAACAGCUGGCUUGCGAGCAGUGAGUUGAGUGCACCCGUAAGUUCACCACAAAGAGGAACUGGAGUUAGCUUGAUGGUUUUAUCAGCUCCUGUGUGCUGCUCCCCUCUGUCUUCACCAGUGCUGACACCAGCUGCAUUAUGCUUUUCUUUUUUCCUGCUGGCCCAAGAGAGAACAGAAAUCACCCAAAGCUUUUUAUUUUUAUUUAGUGGUGCGGUGUUUUAUGAUGCCCAAAGAGCUCUUUAUAGAACACAUCGUCUUUUCCUCUGCUGUACAAGGAGCCACUUAAUUGGAUAAGAUUAAAUAUGUUGCAUAUAAAAUCAGGCCAGCCACUCCUUUUUGCCAAAGCAUGAAUUCUUGUGAGGAGAGAGGUCAUCAUUAUGUCUUUGUUUUCUAGCUGGUUUUAAUUGAACUUUUGCAUUUCGAAAUAAAUAGCAAGUCUUGGCUAUUUGGCUAGCUGCUUUGCCUCGUGUUUGCCUUUUUUGGUGUGUUUUCUGAAAAGCAGCACAAAUGCAACAUUUGUUCUGUUGACCAUGGAAAGACUGACUGGAACGACCUGCAGUAUGAAGUUAUAAUGGGGGAGGAUGCUCAUGUGUUUUUAAAACACUGGCGAUCUGUGCCUCUCUGUUUCUGUGCCACAUUAUCCUCUUGCCCCAUAGCACCCCAGGAGGACAUUGAAAAUCCUGUUUGCACCACAAACGAGGUGAGGCAGGCAGAGCAGGAGCUGUGUGCUGCUGCUCCUCUGAAAAAGGGAGAGGUCUGAGCCAAAUCUGUUCCCUCACCCGUGCAGUCCUUUUAAAAUCAUCUGCACAAAGUGGGCCCCGUUCAGUAUUUCUGCGAGCCUUCUCGACAUGGAAGGUCUUGAGUUUUCAUGCUUGAGGGCCUGAGCUUGCAGACCUUGUGGUAGUACACAAUAAAUAUUUGUGCUCCGCUGAAAUAAUGCUGAGGUACAAGUAACUGAACUUGGCUGGUUGGCCAAGUACAAAAAACCUCGUGGAUAGGUAUUGUCCUCCAUUUCUGGGUUCAUACAGCCCUUUGCUCAGCGGGAGCUUGGGAGUCUUGAAAUACUGAGAAUUGCAUAAAGAUUAAAAAGAAGUGCCAUGGUGUGAAAACCAUUUGGGAACAGUUAAUGACUUGCCCAGCCCAUCCACCAAAGCCAUUGCUGAGAACUUGCAAACCCAGAACAUCAUCUUAAUCCCCGCACCUUGUAUCUUGCAGCCACUCCCUUUGAUGAUUUAAAAAGGUGUAUCUAAUUCUUAGCUGGCCUUCACUGGAAAGGAAUGCAGAACGAUCGCAGUUUUGGUGUGGUGUAAUUACCCUGCAUUUCUUGCCCUGUUACCACUGACAUUGCGCUCCUCACGGCUGGCUUUAUAGGCUGACUUGUACAACCUCUCUGGUUUGUUUUGCUUUUUUAAUGACAUUGGUGAGAAGAUGGGAGGUGUUUUCUGGUUUCGUGGAAGCUUCUUUUGGUUUCUGGGUGGCAAGGCACUGAAGUCCUGUUUUUUGUAAGACUUGGAAAAAGCUGAGUAAUACAAUGAAGGAGAAAGUCUGGGAAUAAGUUUGAUUCCACGGUUGGAGCCAAGUCUAUAAUAGCUCAGAGGAAUUACUCCUUUUAAGAAUUAUAGCAAUAAAACUGCAGUGCUGAUAAACAAUUGGGUUGGGUGGUUUUCUUUUGACCUUUGUAGCUUUGCUGCUGCAAAUCCUCAUGCAGAGGUCUGGGAGACCAAACCUGACGCUGCACAGAUUUGCCGUGGGUGGGUGCCCAAGGCUUCGGCGAGGAUGAUGCUGACCACGUGUCACAAGGGCCCAGAGAGCAGGUUGGGAGAUGUUGUACCUGCUCUCUUGCUGUGUGGCUUUGAAGUGUCCUGAGGAUGAUUCCCCUGGCACUGUGUACCGAGACUAAAGUGCAGAGUGCCACGUACCUGCACUUCAUAAUCCUGCCCUCCCAUGCUCACCCGUGGGAAAGACAAAUGACAGUUAUCGGUAUGGACAGGGUGUUUAACACGCCUGUGCGCUUUCACAGGCUAGUGCUCUCACAUCUUCAUGGAUGGACGAGGGAAUCCAGGGCUGUGAGCAGCAUCCCCCUCUUGACAUUUAUUUCAGGUGGCUUCCAUGCUUUUUGUUGCCCCCUGAAUUAUUCUGGUCUGAGUCUUGCCCUUAGGGGUUCCAGCUCUGGCUGUGCAGGAAUCCAGUGCAGAAUUCAGUUUUCUGGGGUUCUCAGUAACAGAGAUUGUGUAAACCGGUGUUUAAGGAGAUAGUCCUGGUGAGUGAGUCACUUGUUCGCACAUAGAACUGCUGCACGUCUGGUGCAUAGUACGUGUGUAUCAGAAAUAUUUGUCUUGCAGAUUGUUUUUUGCCAAGAAAGGUUGGACCAGGUGAUCCUUCUUUACUGGAUCGUUAUUUCGUGAAAUCUGCACUAGGAACCAAGGGUAUGUACCUAAAGGAAUGUCAGAUAAGGCAUUAGUUACUGGUUGAAGGUUGUUCAUGUUCAGGAUAGUUCAGCUCUUCCAGUCCCUUCCACGGAGAACUGAUGUCCAAAGCCAUGGAGCAGGCAGAGGUAAUACCUGCGAAGUUGCAGCAGGAGCUGCAGGCAUCCACAGGAGACAGAGUUAUAUAAACUCGGAGGGGUAGCCUUCCCAUUUUGGAAAGAGAGAAGAUGCACUUGUCAUCCUCACGGCAGCGGCCCAGGGAGAGCUGCAGACAGAGGGGGGGACUGACUGUGGGUACUCCAGGCACAGGAAAAGCCGUGCACACCCUUGAACGAGGCACAGGGCCUUAGGGAUCUCCUUGCUAAGCAGAUGGCAACACUGCCUUUGUGCUGACUGGAAACCCUGGAUGCUGCUUUCCCACAAAAAUGCUGAAAGAGAAUUGAAGCCCAUGGCUGUUGAGCACUGUAACACAGGACUGAGCACAGGCAAACACAACACAAACAGCUGAAAUGACGAGUUCCCCAUGGCAACAAGAACUCAUCUUAGAGUCACAUUUUGGGGCGUAUUUUCUUCUGUCUUAAAACUCUCCUGACCUUUACCAGGCUAUGACAGCACUUCACAGUAUCACAGUAUCACAGUAUGUUUGGCAUUGGAAGGGACCUCAAAAGAUCAUCUAGUCCAAUCCCCCUGCUGGAGCAGGAACGCCUAGGUGAGGUCGCACAGGAACAUGUCCAGGCGGGUUUUGAAUGUCUCCAGAGAAGGCUGCUCUAGGUUCUGUCAAGCCACCUGGGGCAUGAUGGUCCUAGGAAAUCCAGCCUUCAGCUAUCUCAGGCCCUGGAGACCUGUUGGAGAGACUGGAGCAAAGAAGAGGCAGCCUUAGUGCAAGGGCAUCUGGUGGGAUCAGUUGGAAGAGGAUGCGAUCAGGCCACACUUGAGCAAAAUGGAGAUGCCCAAGUCCCUGAUGGGCUUCGCUGGGGUGCACCAUCAAGUGCUGAGGGAGCUGGCAGAUGGGUUUGCGAGGCCAGUCUUGCAAGGGAAAAAAGGGAGAUGUGCCUGAAGACUAGAAAGAAAGCAAACACCACAUGGCCUGAUGGAUGGAAAAUUGUCAGUGUCUGGGCACAGAUGUUGCUGUCCAAUGGCACCAAGUUCAGUUGCGAUCCAGGAACCAGCAGAGAACGCCAAGUGGCUCAUGGACUGGGAAUGAUAUAGGGAAAUUUACUUUGAUAUUAAAAUCCUGUCUGCUCUAGAAGUUGACUCUUUUUUCUCAAAUUAUUAUUUUUUUUUUUAUUAAGAAGGGGUCAUGGGGAGGGGCAUGAAUGAUUUAUCUUCAUGGCUUCUAAAACAUGGAUUGUAGUGGUGUUAUGGUUUAACCCAAGCUAUCAAUUUAACCAUGAUAAUUGCUUGUUCACUCCCCUCUGCCCCCAAAUAGGGGAGAGAAUCAAAAGGGAAGAGAGAAGCUUGAAUUGAGAUAAACACAGUUUAAACAAAUAGCAGAAUAGGAGUAAGCUACUAGUAAAUAUAUAUAAAAUAGAAAUAGAAUAUAAAAUAAAAGAUAUUCAAUGCAGUUCAUCACAAGCUACAUCCACAACAAAUAGCUGAUCCUGGAGAGAGAAAAGGAGAAAAAGGCAGAAAGGCCCAGAGGCCUCUGUAAAACAGCAGUAUGGCAAAAGGCCAAACUAAAGAAAGUCCUGAACAGAACCCCCCCUGAACAAGUCUCUGUCCUGGAUCCGACAGAGAGUGAGCAGAGAGAGAAUCUGGAAGAUCACAGCUCUCCUUAAAUAUGAAGCAUGACACUAAUGGGAUGGGAUAUUCUUAUUUAUCAGUCUGGAUGUCAGUCAAGCUCUGCCCCAUCCAUGCUGCCCUUCCAUGCCGUCUCACACCUGUGGAUAGAGCACUCAGAACAUCCUUGGCUUUCAGACCAGAGCAAUUAAAAACAUUACCUCUGUCCUGGGGUGUUAUCUCUUGUGCUCAAACAAAAUUCAAACAAUGACAGCACUAGCUACAAAAAAGAAAGAUUUCUAACUGAAUGAAGAAAAUUAACCUAUUUUCAGUCAAACCAUCACAAGCGGUCAAGAUAGAUUAUGCUUUUCUCAUGGAAGUUUUCAUGUUUGACCAAUCUGCUGAUCCAUAGCCCAUGGAGUUCAAUAAACAUCUCUGACUUCUCUCCUUUGACUUAAGAGCUCGAUGCAACCUCCUGUCACUGGGGUUAGUGCAAUUACUGCAGAUAAUCUGCUCUCUACCAUCUCAUAAUCUAGGCUGCCUCCUAUCAAAUGACCUAUGUGAGAAUACAACCAAGUGUUACACAUCACAUGGACACUAUGAAGAGAUGUGACGUUCAAAUACAAAAGUUUGAACAGCUUUUAAUAACUUGCAGGAAUAGAAAGGGGAGGCUCUGUAUAUAUAACACAAAACAAUAAUGCAGAUUUUCUGCACUGAAUUCUAAACCUUCUGUGAUGAUUUGUGUCAAAUCAAAGCUCACAUCAGCAAGGCUCUGUGCUGCACUCUGCAGGUCCUGUUCCCAUUCAGUGACCUGCAAGGUGGAGCAGAGUGUCCCCUGAGACAGCAGGCAGUGGCACACAAGUCGGAGAGAGGGUGGUGCUGGCAAGCAGAAGGACCUGGACAGGCUGGAGAAAGGGGCUGACAGGAAUGUCCUGCCUUUCAAGCAGGGGAAGAGCAAGCUUGGGGACACGCGGGCACGGCCGGGCCCCGCAGCGGCGGCAUUUCUCAUGCCCGCCGCUCUCUGCUGGGCAGGGAGGCUCUCAGCGACACCGAGCCGGUGCUGAGCGCGGACGUGUGGCUGACCCGGGGCCGCAAGAGGAGCAAGAGGCGCCUUCUCCUCCUCCAGGAGGACCUUCUCAUCGCCAAAUUGCAACGUGGCAGCACCCUGCGCCCACAGCUCCGCCUGGCCCUGGACCCGCUGUGGGUGCUGAGUGGUGGGAAAAAGGUGGCGCGGGAGGAAGAAGAGGAGGAAGAAGUGGACAGCGAUGAGGAUGGGAGCUGCCUCAUCUUCAUCUGGGCCAGCGGCUACUGCAUUGCCCAUUUCAGCUCACGGGCACUGAAGGACCUGUGGCUGAACACACUGCUGGGGACAACUGAAGGAGUCAAGAGACUCUGAGUGACCUGCCUGCCAUCGCUGAAGUUACUGGAGAAGAAACUAAGCUGCCCCGAUGCCAUGAGUGUCUGUCUGUCCUGGGCUCUGUCCCCGAUCACUGCUCCUCCAGCCCAGCAGCAGAGCCAUGGCUGCUCACCCACUUCCCCUCCUUCUCUCUUGCCCAGGGGAGGACGUUCAACAC